AGUGGUCUGCAAGCUAAUAAUUUCUGGUGAUGGUUAGCAUGGUUAACAUUAAUUUUUGACUUAACAUAACCUAGGAGGAGAGUCUCAAUGGGGGGUGGGGGUGUCUACAUCAGAUUGGCCCUUGGACGUGCCUCCAGGGGGAAUGUCUUGAUUGUUAAUUGAUGUAGGAGGAUCCAGCCCACUGUGGGUAGUACCAUUCCCUAGGGUGGACCCCUAACUAUACGAAUGUGGAGAAACUGAGUUUACUGUGAGCCAGCAGGUGAACACAUAUGUGUCUCUUCUCACGGAUCGUAACCAUAAAUUUUAAGUUCUGCUCACUAUGACUUGCUGGCUAUGGUGGCUCUAACCUGGAAUUCUAAGUGAAAAAUAAGCCUUUUUGUUCCCCAAGGUAUUUGGGUCAGAGUAUUUUAUCAUAGCUACAGAAGGAAAAUAAUGUCCUUACAGAAUGAUCAUUACUGUUGUUUGGACAGAAAUGCAGCUGUACACGACAGCCAGGGAAAGUGGUGCACAGGGAUGAUCUGCCAUUGACCUGAGAACAAGUCACAGUGGAAGAAGAUUGGUAGAUAAACUCUUUGUGGACAACACUUGAGCCAACUUCAUACAUACUGAAUCCUGUUAUCGCCUCAUGGUCUUAAUUUGGUUGUUGUGACCUCAUCCACCUUGUCUAUACUCCUAGAAGGGAACAAAAGGGUAAGACUUAGGGACUGCAGGACAUUGCAGCAGAUGCCCUUUUUAUUUUGAGUAGGCACAACCCUGAUUGAUCAGCCAACUUAUAGUCAUGCCACUGUCUAGACUCGUGACCCAGGGCCUGCUUCCUGGCUGAAAAGAGGGUUAGACAAAUGUGCUGCAAAACCAGGUGUGCCAAUGACUUAUGCCAACUUUUCUAAUGGGAAGACCAUCACUCAGGGAGGGGAAACAAUUUACCCAAAUGUAUACCUCAUUCUAAAAGCAGACCCUUAUCUGUCUGACUUCAAGCUUCCUUCCUUUUCUGUGAUGUUUUGCCAGUUCAGCCUAUUAUCAUUCUAGAAUCACUGCUGUUUUCAUGGGCCACACAUUUGCCUUAGUUUGAGGGGCUGCUUAAAAAAACAAAACAAAACAAAAAAAAACCCUUUUCUUUAGAUGAAGAUAGAGUAAUUUAGCAGACACCCUUUUUAAAAGUCAAUUGAUUGGGUUAGAGAACAGAGCUGAAAAGUAAUCUUCAAGCAUAACGUAGCUUGUUAUCUUUUUGUUUUAAUGUCAGCAUCAAAAGGGCUAGUAGCAUUCUGGGUUCAGGUUCAUGGUUUACUCUUCUUUUAAGGUCAUUUCUACCCCUGUACUUUUUAGUGCAGCCAUAUGUGUCUGAAGAGGGAUUAGACAACAUCCUACCUGAGUCUGUAACAGUCAGAGGUGAGGGAGAGGCCAGCUGCUAACAGCCUGGUAUGGAUGGAUGCUGGCUGCUUUUUAACACUUCUACUCUGUGUCAGUUUUCCUUCAUGGCGUUGUGGGUUUUCCUUCAGGAUUGUUUAGUCAAUAGCAAUGGUGGCCUGAUCACACCACAGCCCUGAGCCAGGGAAGCCUGUGUGCAUCUGUUACUACAGAUCUGAACUGAGAGCCAUGAAGACAAAGCCAAGAUAGUGUUUAUCAUUCAAAAUCAGACAACACAGCUAGCUGUCAGGAAGAGCAGAGACACAGGGGCAGCCUUAGACGUGAUGCUCAGUGGCGGUUGUGUUAUGGAAUUAAGUUUGGGAUAGAUUAUUGGGUACAUUCUCUUUGCCAGAGAUUAUGGCUAUUGUACGUUAUUGCAUGCAUUAUUGUAUUAUUGUUUCUUAUUGUAUCUACUACUGUCUGUUAUUGUGUGUUGAGGUAUGUUGGAUAGCUAUUUCCUCUGAGUUGAAUCAUUCAGAGUGAGGCUCGGGAAGUAAGGAAUUAAACAAAACUUAGAAGUCUCUGGAGACUCCUGACACCAAGAUUCCCAAGUCCUGACCCUGAGGUUUUAAUGUCAGCAUCAAAAGAGCUAGCAUUCUGGGUCUCAGUAGUGCCCAGUGGCUGGGGAGAUGCUUCAAGUCAUGCAGGGAACUCCAGGAAUGCGGCUUUCACCCAUGCUGGGGUAGACUUUACAGAAAUGCAGCUUCCUCUGAGUCAGCUCGGCUCUUGUACAUCACCUCCUGCCCCUGUGCCUGCCCACUACCCCAGUAAACCACUGGUUCAUCAAGCUAACCUCCGAGCCGUCCUAUCUGGAGUAGACAGGCAUUUAUUCACAUUUUCCCAUGAAAAGUCACCUAACAAGGUGAUUUUCCUAUUCAUGGCUGUAAUUGGUCUUUAAAAAGCUGCAGAGUGCUGGUGAUGUGCCCAUCUUCCAAGAACCCAAGGGCCAGAGCACAAGUUGACCUUCCCCAAGUCCAGAGCAGGCACUGUCCACUCUGGAUCUGUGUUAUCUCUGCUCUACCUACUGCCCUUGAAGAAGCAUGGGUUCUGUGUCCAGCACGGCAUUAAUCCUCCAGCGGACACUGAGAAAGGAGUCCAGGACUCACCUGUUUUCUGAGUGGCUUCAUUGGCCAAAUCGCCAGUUUCCUGAGUUAUGUGCUUCUUGGUCAGUCCUAAGACUGAUUCUGAACCAGGGCGUAUAGUUAGGGGCUCCUUUAUAUAAUGAAUUAUUAAGUCACAUUUGUAAUCCAUAUUAUAGAAAGGAGUUAGCAUGUGUGUUAUAACCAGUUCUGUGUGUAGGACUUGCUUGUUCUGGGUUAACCCUUCCCAGACCUGAUGACUCUGGAGGAGUUCAGUCCUGACGCCAAGCGCACUUAGUUUCAAGGUUGUGUCGGAGCCCAGAUGCCACAGCAAAGGAUGAUAAGGAGAGAGCUACAGCCAUCACCAGUCUCAGAAAUGUGACUUGCUACCUGAGAAGAUCCAUGAUACGGAGCUUUGGGUGCCUUGGUCUCCACUCCCUUCUCCCUAUGUUCAAUUCCUGUCUCCUCAUUGGCAUUUGUGGCUACAGGCACCAUGAGCUCUGAUGUUCUGAUUAUGAUUUGGCAACAAUAUGUGAAGAAUGGUCAUUUAGCUGAUGUUAGGCGACAAAUAACAAUUGCAUGUACUUAAGCAGCAGUGUCUAUGAUAUUUUAGUAUGAAUUGUGAAAUGAUUGAGUCAAACCUGCUAACAUAUCCAUCACCUUUCUUUCUUUGGGGUUAAGACACAUAAAAACUACUAUUUUACUAGUGUUAAAAACUGAAAUGUUUUUCUUUGUUUCUUAGUUUCUUUCUUUUUCAAAUCAUUUGUCAUCGCCCUACUGUUUCACAGAUUAUGAAACCCUUUUGUUCUGGUUACCUUUGACUGUCAUCUUGACACAGCCUAGGGUCAUUUGAGAAGAGUCUCAACUAAGGAAUUGCUCAGAUCAGAUACUUAUAGGCAUGUCUAUGAGGGAUGGUCUUGAUUUUUAAUUAAUGGAGGAGGGCUCAGCCCACUGUGGGCGGGAUCAUUCCCUGGGCAGGUGGCUAUAGGCUGUAUCAGAAAGCUAGCUAACCAAGGGUCUGAGAAUGAGGCAGCAUGUAGCAUUCCCCCAUGGUGUUUCUAUUGCAAGCCCCAGCUUGAGUUUCUGCCUUGAUUCUCUCAAUGAUGGAUUCUGGUCUGAAAGUAUAACCAAAGUCACCCUUCCCUCCACUAAGUUGCUUCAGUCAGUGUGUUUUAUUACAGCAACAGAAAAGAUAGAAGGAUGUGUGAAACAUUCUUUAUGUGCAGCUGGAAUUGCACCUUCCUACCUACACAUUACCAUUCUCUGCAUGCCCCAGGCCUGUAAGGACCACUCUAUUCUGUUUCUAUGAGUUUGCCUUUUCAGAAUCCUCAUAAAGCUGGAAUUUUGCAGCAUUUGUCUUUAAAGGCCUGGCCUAUUAUUUUACUUAGUCUCACGUCCUCCCGCUUCAUCUAUGUUGACACAAUGACAUAAUUACAGCUGAAUCACAUUCCACAGUGCAUACACAUUGCAGUUUCUUUAAUCACUCAUCCAUUAUUGAACAUGUACUAUGACUCUGUAUAUUAGUUAUUUUGACUAACAUUGCAGUGGGCAAGAGGGUUCAGAUAUGUCUGAUGUAUUGAUUUCUGUUCCCUUAUAUACAAACCCAGUAGAAGCUCUGCUGACUUAUAUGGUAUAGCAAACAUGCUGUCUUCCACAAUAUCUAUUCUAAUUUACACUCCCACCAAAAAUGCUUCAUUUUUCUUACAGCCCUUCCAAUACUUCCAUUUUUUAUCAUUGAUACUGGCCAUUGCAAGCAUUGGCAAGUGGUAUCUCACUGUGGUUUUAAUUUGCAUUUGCUAUAGUUUGUGAGAUUGAACUUUAUUUUUCAUGCACUCAUUGACUUUUUGUAUAUUGUACAAGAAGUGUUUACUCAGGUCCCUUGCUCACUUUAAAAUCAGGUUAUUUGUUUUCUUGCUAUUGCCUUGUUUAGGUUUCUUACGUGUUGUGGCAAUUAGUCCCUUCUCAGAUGUGUGCUGUGCAAAUACUUCCUCCUGCUCUGCAGGUUGUCUCUUUCCUCUACAGAUGCUGCUGUGCAGUACAGAGCCUUCGGGGAUCACUCAGCUCCCUCAGUCUGGCUUUGUUAUGUUACAUGCAUUUGAAGGUCAUCUCCAAGAAGUCUCUGUUUAGGCUAAUGAUGUUUUACUUUCCUUGUGUUUGAUCUUGGUGGUUCCCAAAGCUCUUUUAUUGUACUUAACUAUUCCUUCAAAUACACACACACACACACACACACACACACACACACACACACACACACACACACACACACACACAUUCUAUUCCCUGAAUGGAAUAUACCUAGAUCUCAAACCUAGGGCCUUACACACACCAGCUACAUCCCAGGUUAAGUCUUUAACCCACUUUGAAUUGAACUUGUGUAUGGUAUGAAUGGUUCAUUUUUCUGUAUGUAGAAAUCCAUUUUCAUAACACCAUUCAUUGAAGAACUUUCUUUAUGACCAUGUGCUCUGAAACCAUAGUACAUUCAAAGCAUCAUUCACAAUGACCAGGCAGGAGUCAUCCUUGAGGUGGUUCAACAUGCAGAUUAAUAACAGAGAGUCCCCAUAUUUGCACAAUGAAGGGCAAAGAUCUGAUCACAUCAACAGGAUCAGAUAAAACUUGAGAGAUAUUUGACACUCUUUCAUGAUAAAAUUAAACAAUGUUAUCAACAGUGGCUAAACUUCUAAUGUCUCACAAAUAUACACAACAAUGAGCUUUUGCUAGGUCAGGGGUAAAAUGUAACCGAUAGUGUGUCUGAAAAAUUGUUUAAAUGAGACAAUUGACAAAUAUGUGAACAUUUGUCACAUCUGGUCAGCAUCAUGGGAAAUUAUAUAUGAAAAUGUAAAAUACCUUUUCCCCUUAUCCAAUUUGCUGGGUUUUUUUUUUAAUAUGUAGCUGAGUGUGACCUUGAACUUCUCAUCCUUCUGUGUGACAGUUAGUGUUAAUUGUCUACCUCACAGAAUCUAGAAUCAUCUGGGACAAGGACCUCUGAGCAAGGAUAUGAUUUUGACUACAUUAGUUGAUGUGGGAAGACCCAUCUUAUAUGUAGGUGGCAGGGGAUCUUAGCGUCUGUGAAAUGGAGAAAAGAGCCAAGGUACAACAUUCAUCCCUCCCUCCUCCCUCCCUCCUCCCUCCCUCUGUCAUCCAUUCACUGCUACUUGACUGUGGAUGGAAUCUAACAGUUGCUUCAAGUCUCUGCUGCCUUCACUUCCCUGCUGUGGUGGACUGUAACUUGAACUGUGACCCAAGAUAAGCCCUCCCUUAGAUUGCUUUUAUCAGUGUAUUUCAUUUUUUUGUUUUCUUUUUUUUAUUAGAUAUUUCCUUUAUUUACAUUUCAAAUGUUAACCCCUUUCCUAGUUUUCCCUCUGAAAAUCCCCUAUCCCCUCCCUCCUCCCCCUGCUCCCCAACCCACCUACUCCAGCUUCCUGGCCCUGGCAUUCCCCUGUUCUGGGGCAUAGAACCUUCAUAGGACCAAGGGCCUCUCCUCCAAUUGAUGGCUGGCUAGGUCAUCCUCUGCUACAUAUGCUGCUAGACCCAUGAGUUCCACCAUGUGUUUUCUUUGGUUGGUGAUUUAGUCCCAGGGAGCUCUGGGGUUACUGGUUAGUUCAUAUUGUUGUUCUUCCUAUGGGGAUGCAAACCCCUUCAGCUUUUUGGGUACUUUCUUUAGCUCCUUCAUUGGGGACACUGUGCUCCAUCCAAUGGAUGGCUGUGAGCAUCCACUUCUGUAUUUGUCGUGCACUGGCAUAGCCUUUCAGGAGACAGCUUUAUCAGGCUCCUGUCAGCAAGCUCUUGUUGGCAUCUGCAAUUUUGUCUGGGUUUAGUGCUUGUUUAUGGGAUGGAUUUGCAAAGCACAUGAAACUCAAGAAUAGGAAAGACCAAAGUGUGGAUACUUUGAUCCUUCUUAGAAGGGGGGAACAAAAUACCCAUGGGAGGAGUUACGGAGACAAAGUUCAGAGCAGAGACGGAAUGAAUGACCAUCCAGAGACUGGCCGACCUGGGAAUCUAUCAGUAUAUUUCUAUCACAGCAGUAAGAAAAUAAACUAAGGCAUCCUGGCCACAUUUCUUGAAGGCUAGUAUUAGAAGCUUUUACUAUGAUGCCCUGUUUAUAUGAUGUUGGAGUUGGAACCCAGGGCUUCAUGCUUGCUAGGCAAGCAUGAAACCAACUGAGCCAUAUCCUUAGCUCAAGUCAUUUUUGAUUCAGAAUAUUUUUCUUUCAUUUCCAAAGUACUGUUAGAAGCCUCAAAGGCAUCACUCAAGUCCACCCUCUUCUCUUCAAUGUGAGUUCCAUUGAAGAUAAUAUUAUUUUUGGAGUUAGUCUUUGCCUUGCAAUUGUCCGUCCUUCCUCAGCAUCCCUUCAUCUCAGCCCCUCUUCUACCAGUUCCCAAGGUCCUGAGCAACACCCAUAACAUCUCAGCACAGGAUGCUUCCCAAGGCAGAGCUAUGGCCUCUGUAUCUGACAUGAUCUCUUCAACAUAAUGGCUGAACAGGCAAAUGGAAGUAUUUUAUGUAGAGGGAAAUACUAUUCACUCAUGUACAUAAGAUGGGUUUUGACUUGACCUGUCAAUGGCUUGGACAGGAAACUAUCUUGUAUUUUUGUAUUCAAACUUUAAAAGACAUGCAUUCAGGUGGGUCUAGUUUACACUGAUCAUAAACUCUACAUACAUGUUGCCACUAUGCACAGUUAAGUCAAAAAGCAGAGUACUAUUGUCUUAAUGUUGUCUUUAUUGUCUUAGAAUUUUACUUCCACCAAGAAACACCAUAACAAAGGCAACUCUUUUUUUUUUUCUUUUUUUUUUUCCAUUUUUUAUUAGGUAUUUAACUCAUUUACAUUUCCAAUGCUAUACCAAAAGUCCCCCAUAUCCACCCACCCCCA
rnacentral:lncRNA from 1 species